CGAACGCCUAUAGCAAUAUAGGAGUGGCGCACGGGUGAGUAAUACUUGGGAACGUGCCUUAGAGUCUGGGAUAACCACGGGAAACUGUGGCUAAUACCGGAUGCUCCCUUCGGGGGAAAGAUUUAUCGCUCUAAGAUCGGCCCAAGCCAGAUUAUGGUAGUUGGUGGGGUAAAAGCCUACCAAGCCUACGAUCUGUAGCUGGUCUGAGAGGACGACCAGCCACACUGGAACUGAGACACGGUCCAGACUCC
rnacentral:rRNA from 1 species